rnacentral:rRNA from 1 species
AUUGAACGCUGGCGGAAUGCUUUACACAUGCAAGUCGAACGGCAGCACGGACUUCGGUCUGGUGGCGAGUGGCGAACGGGUGAGUAAUACAUCGGAACGUGCCCAAUCGUGGGGGAUAACGUAGCGAAAGCUACGCUAAUACCGCAUACGAUCUAAGGAUGAAAGCGGGGGAUCGCAAGACCUCGCGCGAUUGGAGCGGCCGAUGGCAGAUUAGGUAGUUGGUAGGGUAAAGGCCUACCAAGCCGACGAUCUGUAGCUGGUCUGAGAGGAUGAUCAGCCACACUGGGGCUGAGACACGGCCCAGACUCCUACGGGAGGCAGCAGUGGGGAAUUUUGGACAAUGGACGCAAGUCUGAUCCAGCCAUUCCGCGUGCAGGAUGAAGGCCCUCGGGUUGUAAACUGCUUUUGUACAGAACGAAAAGGCUCUGGUUAAUACCUAGGGCUCAUGACGGUACUGUAAGAAUAAGCACCGGCUAACUACGUGCCAGCCGCUGCGGUAA